rnacentral:rRNA from 1 species
UGGAUCCAGACUUUGAUCAUGGCUCAGGAUGAACGCUAGCUACAGGCUUAACACGUGCAAGUCGAGGGGAAACGACAUCGAAAGCUUGCUUUUGAUGGGCGUCGACCGGCGCACGGGUGAGUAACGCGUAUCCAACCUGCCCACCACUUGGGGAUAACCUUGCGAAAGUAAGACUAAUACCCAAUGAUAUCUCUAGAAGACAUCUGAAAGAGAUUAAAGAUUUAUCGGUGAUGGAUGGGGAUGCGUCUGAUUAGCUUGUUGGCGGGGUAACGGCCCACCAAGGCGACGAUCAGUAGGGGUUCUGAGAGGAAGGUCCCCCACAUUGGAACUGAGACACGGUCCAAACUCCUACGGGAGGCAGCAGUGAGGAAUAUUGGUCAAUGGGCGAGAGCCUGAACCAGCCAAGUAGCGUGCAGGACGACGGCCCUAUGGGUUGUAAACUGCUUUUAUAAGGGAAUAAAGUGAGUCUCGUGAGAUUUUUUGCAUGUACCUUAUGAAUAAGGACCGGCUAAUUCCGUGCCAGCAGCCGCGGUAAUACGGAAGGUCCGGGCGUUAUCCGGAUUUAUUGGGUUUAAAGGGAGCGUAGGCCGGAGAUUAAGCGUGUUGUGAAAUGUAGACGCUCAACGUCUGCACUGCAGCGCGAACUGGUUUCCUUGAGUACGCACAAAGUGGGCGGAAUUCGUGGUGUAGCGGUGAAAUGCUUAGAUAUCACGAAGAACUCCGAUUGCGAAGGCAGCUCACUGGAGCGCAACUGACGCUGAAGCUCGAAAGUGCGGGUAUCGAACAGGAUUAGAUACCCUGGUAGUCCGCACGGUAAACGAUGGAUGCCCGCUGUUGGUCUGAAUAGGUCAGCGGCCAAGCGAAAGCAUUAAGCAUCCCACCUGGGGAGUACGCCGGCAACGGUGCAACUCAAAUGAAUUGACGGA